rnacentral:rRNA from 1 species
GACGAGGGGUCCAAGCGUUGUUCGGAAUUACUGGGCGUAAAGCGCACGUAGGCGGCUUUGUAAGUUAGAGGUGAAAGCCUGGUGCUCAACACCAGAAUUGCCUUUAAGACUGCAUCGCUUGAACGUCGGAGAGGUGAGUGGAAUUCCGAGUGUAGAGGUGAAAUUCGUAGAUAUUCGGAAGAACACCAGUGGCGAAGGCGGCUCACUGGACGACUGUUGACGCUGAGGUGCGAAAGCGUGGGGAGCAAACAGG